AUGGCUCACGAGGGUCCAAUGGUCAGUGACACAACUUGGAUUACAGAAUUAGCAACAGAAGCAGGUGCUGCUGCAUCCUGCAAAUGUUGUCUUUGUGGAUGGAAAAAAAAAGUCAUGGACUGGACUACAGCUGGACUUUGUUCUUUGUUUUCUGUCAUGCAUAUUUCUGUGCUCUUUCUUUUCCUCAAACUGUUUGCCAGCUGAGUUAUUAAGGAGGGAGUUUUUAUGAUCCCAGUGAGUUUAAUCCUGCAAGUACUCUGGAAGAAAGGGUUGAAGAUCAGUGGGAGUUGCUGAUCAAAGUCAAGCUCAGAUCAGGCUGAACAGACGCAGGCAGAAAUAUAUUUGUCUUUCUAAAAAAUAUGAAGAAAUUCAAGUGUUUUCUUAGAAGUGAAAAAUAGUCUUAAAAGAAGUUGAAUUUAUAAAACUUACCAGCUGGUUUAUUGCUUUUCUGAAGUUUCUUGAACUUCAGUAAUUUAAGUUCAUUAUUUUAAAUCAGUCCUAUCAUUACCCUUGGUCUUGAGUGCUAGAAGUUUGCAAGACAGAUUACACAGCACACAUUUCAGAAACUCUGAGUUAGGAUUUCCAUGUGAGGAAAUGUUUUUGCAUGUAAAAUGCAAAAUGUAAAGAGAGCUAAUGUAAAGAGGUGUGCUCCAUCCUGUUUUGGUGAUGGACCACUUGUGCCAGGCAAGAAUGUGGGGGCAGUAAAAGUUGAAGUUAGGCCUUGAUAAUGGGUAAUGUAUCCUUGAAGUCCUUGAAUUGCAUCAGGCCAGAAAUGCCCUCGUGAGCUAAGAGAUCUCACUGAUCUCUGACACUUACCUGCAUCUUGGUACUGUACAAUCACAGUGAUUAAACUUGUUUGUGACCAUGAUCUUGGCACUUUCCAGGUUAUCUAGGACCCCUAAAUUUAAUUAAGAUGAAAUAUUGGUUUGCUUUUGAUAUUUAACUUUAGUAGUACUCUAAUCUUAAUAUAAGAGUAAUGGCAGUUGACUACAGUCAUAAAUCCCAGGCAGGCAGCACCUGCUACUCUGGCCUGUGAAACAGCCUGUGUUCUGUCUGGGAUGGCUUGAAUUACCAUCUUUCUCUUUCACUUCUUUUCUUUAUUUCUUUAAGAAAUCUAACCUAGCUAUGGCAGUUGCUUCUCAGGAAGUUACAAAGAUGGGUCAG
rnacentral:lncRNA from 1 species